AGAGAUGUGUGAUGACGCAUAUCAAUAAGCGGAGGAAAAGAAACUAACAAGGAUUCCCUUAGUAACGGCGAGUGAAGCGGGAAGAGCUCAAAUUUGAAAUCUUCAAGGUUCUACCUUGACGAAUUGUAGUUUAUAGAAGUGUUUUCUGUUAGUGGAGUUGGCAAAAGUUCUUUGGAAUAGGACAUCAUAGAGGGUGAGAAUCCCGUAUUUGGUCAUUCCUCCUAGCGUUGUGAUACACUUUCAACGAGUCGGAUUGUUUGGGAAUGCAGUCCAAAAUGGGUGGUAAAUUUCAUCUAAAGCUAAAUAUUGGCGAGAGACCGAUAGCGAACAAGUACCGUGAGGGAAAGAUGAAAAGAACUUUGAAAAGAGAGUUAAACAGUACGUGAAAUUGUCAAAAGGGAAGCGUUUGACACCAGUGUUGUUUUUUCCGAAAAUCAAUUACGAAUGUUUUGUUUUUAGGAGUUAUGACUUCAUCGGCUUGCUCCUUUCUUUACGAGACUUUCUUAAUGCACUUUUCGGUUAACAAGUCAACAUCAAUUUCUUUUGUUGUAAAAGGGUAUGAGGAAGGUGGCUUUCUUUUCGGAGAAAGUGUUUAUAGCCUUGUACCUCUGCAAUCGGAGAGAUUGAGGUCUGCAGCGUAGAUCCUUCGGGGUUAGAUACAUUUGUGCUAAGUUAUAGCUUUUCAUAGACAACUUGUUGACUAUGUUUAGUCUUGUAGCUUACUCGCUUAUGCUAUUUUACCUACGCUUAGGAUGUUGAAGAUGUAGCACAUCAU
rnacentral:rRNA from 1 species